AUGUAUUUUUCUCCCCCUCUACUUUCUUGUCCCUGUCUUCCCCCCCCCAUUUCUCUCUCCCUCCCUCGUUGUUUCCCCCCCCCCAUUUCUCUCUCCCUCCCUCGUUGUUUCUUCUCUCUCUUUCUCUCUCCCUCCCUAGUUGUUUCUUCUAUCUCUUUCUCUCUCCCUCCCUCGUUGUUUCUUCUCUCUCUUUCUCUCUCCCUCCCUCGUUGUUUCUUCUAUCUCUUUCUCUCUCCCUCCCUCGUUGUUUCUUCUCUCUCUUUCUCUCUCCCUCCCUCGUUGUUUCCCCCCCCCCAUUUCUCUCUCCCUCCCUCGUUGUUUCUUCUCUCUCUUUCUCUCUCCCUCCCUCGUUGUUUCUUCUAUCUCUUUCUCUCUCCCUCCCUCGUUGUUUCCCCCCCUUUCUCUCUCCCUCCCUCGUUGUUUCUUCUCUCUCUUUCUCUCUCCCUCCCUCGUUGUUUCUUCUAUCUCUUUCUCUCUCCCUCCCUCAUUGUUUCUUCUCUCUCUUUCUCUCUCCCUCCCUCGUUGUUUCUUCUCUCUUUCUCUCUCCCUCCCUCGUUGUUUCUUCUCUCUUUCUUCUCUCCCUCCCUAGUUGUUUCUUCUCUCUCUUUCUCUCUCCCUCCUUUGUUGUUUCUUCUCUCUCUUUCUUCUCUCCCUCCCUCGUUGUUUCUUCUCUCUCUUUCUCUUUCCCUCCCUCGUUGUUUCUUCUUUCUCUCUCCCUCCCUCGUUGUUUCUUCUCUCUCUUUCUUCUCUCCCUCCCUCGUUGUUUCUUCUCUCUCUUUCUCUCUCCCUCCCUCGUUGUUUCUUCUCUCUCUUUCUCUCUCCCUCCCUCGUUGUUUCUUCUUUCUCUCUCCCUCCCUCGUUGUUUCUUCUCUCUUUCUUACUCCCUCCCUCGUUGUUUCUUCUCUCUUACUCUCUCCCUCCCUCGUUGUUUCUUCUCUCUCUUUCUCUCUCCCUCCCUCGUUGUUUCUUCUCUCUCUUUCUCUCUCCCUCCCUCGUUGUUUCUUCUCUCUCUUUCUUCUCUCCCUCCCUCGUUGUUUCUUCUCUCUCCCUCCCUUUUUGUUUCUUCUCUCUCUUUCUCUCUCCCUCCCUCGUUGUUUCUUCUCUCUUUCUUACUCCCUCCCUCUUUGUUUCUUCUCUCUCUUCUCUCUGUCGUACUCCCUCCAGACAAAGAGAUCAUUUGAAUGA
rnacentral:lncRNA from 1 species